UACGAAGGGGGCUAGCGUUGCUCGGAAUCACUGGGCGUAAAGGGUGCGUAGGCGGGUCUUUAAGUCAGGGGUGAAAUCCUGGAGCUCAACUCCAGAACUGCCUUUGAUACUGAAGAUCUUGAGUUCGGGAGAGGUGAGUGGAACUGCGAGUGUAGAGGUGAAAUUCGUAGAUAUUCGCAAGAACACCAGUGGCGAAGGCGGCUCACUGGCCCGAGUACUGACGCUGAGGCACGAAAGCGUGGGGAGCAACAGGGAUUAAGAUACCCU
rnacentral:rRNA from 1 species